rnacentral:lncRNA from 10 species
UUGAGAUCAAGGCCAACUCAGUGUUUGGUGAGGGUCUCCUGCUGGUUCACAGAUGGUGGCUUCCUGCUGUGUCCUCACAGGGCAGAAGGGGUGAAGGGGUCUCUCUGGGGUCUCUUGUAGAAGGGCACUAAUCCCAUUCAUGAGGGCUCCCCCUUCAUGACCUAAUCACCUCCCAAAGGCCCCACGUAAUCUCAUUACCUUCAGGGUUAGGAUUUCAACAUAGAAUUUGAGAGGCACACAGACAUUUGGUCUGCAGCAGUCUUCUGUCCAUUUUCAGACUGGGUUGUUUUCUUGCCCUGGAGAUUCCUUCAUGUUAGUCUGGAUGCAUCCUCUGCCAGCUAGUAGACUUUCACAUUUUUUUUAAAAGUGCCUCAUGACCUGUGUGAGCCACUGGAGUUGGGGACCACCAAUAAGAGAGAGCCCGUCAUCCAGGAGGGGGCAGGCUCUUCCAUUUGGGGGAGAACAGGGGACAUUUGGGAAUCACAGCCUCCAUGGUUCUAAGGACUGUUCCCAUCUCCUCAGAGUCUAGGGGACUUAGAGAAAUAUAUAGCCUUCUUGGCUACGUUGGCCUUGUCGAGUUUGUUUAUGACUUUUUUAUGGUAUGUCUAGCCCCAGCUGGAAUGUAGUCUCAUAUAGUCUCCUGUGGGUUGGGGCCUUGUCUUUUGUUCAGUGAUGUGUCCCUGGAGCUCAGGAUGGUGCUGGGCACAUAGUAGGUGCUACAAAAAUACUCGUUGAGGGAAUGGCUAACCCUUCCCAGCCUCCUCUUCUCCUGCUGUGGAGGGAAUGGCUAACCGUUCCCAGCCUCCUCUUGUCCUGCUUUGAUAUACAGGAUUUGACAGGAAGACCAGGGUAUGGUCAGCUUCCUCACUUCUGUGGAGAGAGAAUCUGAUCUGUCCAGAAAGAUCGAAUGACCUGGCUGUAGUCACUCAGCAUCUGGCCUCAGGCACACAAUAGGGAAAGGGGAUAGUUUAAGACGGAUGGGGGCAGGGCGUCUGCCAAUCGGGGAAGUGCAGAGAAAAGCCAGUGGGGUAGGCCUGGGAGGUGGGGAGAGGCAGCUCCAGCCAGUACCUGGUUAGCUUGACAGGAAAUGCCCCAGUCAGCCUGCGUCUCAGGUCGGAAUUGAAGGGGAGGCCCUGGGGCUCCAGAGGCAGCUGGGAGCACAGGAAAAUAGCACAGGGUAGCUGUUCAAUGUAGAAGCCAAACUCAGAAGAUUAGCAGAGGACAGGUUGAUAAUCAAGGUCCAAACUCAAUAUUUGAAAAGAAUAGUAGAAUAGUGCAAACCUUCAGCAAGUUGACUAGGAGGAAAACAAGAAACAGCACAAACACUGAUGGUGGAAGCAAGCAAAGCCGGGGAUGGA